GAUGAAGAACGCAGUGAAAUGCGAUAAGUAGUGUGAAUUGCAGAAUUCAGUGAAUCAUCGAAUCUUUGAACGCACAUUGCGCCCCUUGGUAUUCCAUGGGGCAUGCCUGUUCGAGCGUCAUUUGUACCCUCAAGCUAAGCUUGGUGUUGGGUGUUUGUCCACUCCCUCGUGUUUGGACUCGCCUUAAAACAAUUGGCAGCCAGUGUUUUGGUAUUGAAGCGCAGCACAAUUUGCGAUUCUAGCCUAGAAUACUAGCAUCCAUCAAGUCAUUUUUAACGCUUGACCUCGGAUCAGGUAGGGAUACCCGCUGAACUUAAGCAUAUCAAUAAGCGGAGGA
rnacentral:misc_RNA from 1 species